rnacentral:rRNA from 1 species
CGUGUAGGCGGCUCAUCAAGUCUGGUGUGAAAACGCAAGGCUUAACCUUGCGGAUGCGCUGGAAACUGGUGGGCUUGAGUUCUUGAGGGGGAAGCUGGAAUUCCAGGUGUAGGGGUGAAAUCUGUAGAUAUCUGGAAGAACACCGGUGGCGAAGGCGAGCUUCUAUCAGAGGACUGACGCUGAGGCGCGAAAGCGUGGGGAGCAAACAGGAUUAGAUACCCUGGUAGUCCACGCUGUAAACGAUGUGCACUAGGCGUGGGGCACGUACGUGUUCUGUGCCGUAGUUAACGUGAUAAGUGCACCGCCUGGGGAGUAUGCUCGCAAGGGUGAA